UGGAGAGUUUGAUCUCGGCUCAGGACGAACGCUGGCGGCGUGCUUAACACAUGCAAGUCGAACGGAAAGGCCCUUCGGGGUACUCGAGUGGCGAACGGGUGAGUAACACGUGGGUGAUCUGCCCUGCACUUUGGGAUAAGCCUGGGAAACUGGGUCUAAUACCGAAUAGGACCACGCGCUUCAUGGUGUGUGGUGGAAAGCUUUUGCGGUGUGGGAUGGGCCCGCGGCCUAUCAGCUUGUUGGUGGGGUAAUGGCCUACCAAGGCGACGACGGGUAGCCGGCCUGAGAGGGUGACCGGCCACACUGGGACUGAGAUACGGCCCAGACUCCUACGGGAGGCAGCAGUGGGGAAUAUUGCACAAUGGGCGCAAGCCUGAUGCAGCGACGCCGCGUGAGGGAUGACGGCCUUCGGGUUGUAAACCUCUUUCACCAGGGACGAAGCGUAAGUGACGGUACCUGGAGAAGAAGCACCGGCCAACUACGUGCCAGCAGCCGCGGUA
rnacentral:rRNA from 1 species